rnacentral:SRP_RNA from 1 species
GCCGGGCGCGGUGGCGCGCGCCUGUAAUCCCAGCUACUCGGGAGGCUGAGGCUGGAGGAUCGCUUGAGCCCAGGAGUUCUGGGCUGCAGUGCGCUAUGCCGAUCGGGUGUCCGCACUAAGUUCGGCAUCAAUAUGGUGACCUCCCGGGAGUGGGGGACCACCAGGUUGCCUAAGGAGGGGUGAACCGGCCCAGGUCGGAAACGGAGCAGGUCAAAACUCCCGUGCUGAUCAGUAGUGGGAUCGCGCCUGUGAAUAGCCACUGUACUCCAGCCUGGGCAACAUAGCGAGACCCUGUCUCU